rnacentral:rRNA from 1 species
CCUACGGGAGGCAGCAGUAGGGAAUCUUCCACAAUGGGCGCAAGCCUGAUGGAGCAACACCGCGUGAGUGAAGAAGGGUUUCGGCUCGUAAAGCUCUGUUGUUGGAGAAGAACGUGCGUGAGAGUAACUGUUCACGCAGUGACGGUAUCCAACCAGAAAGUCACGGCUAACUACGUGCCAGCAGCCGCGGUAAUACGUAGGUGGCAAGCGUUAUCCGGAUUUAUUGGGCGUAAAGCGAGCGCAGGCGGUUGCUUAGGUCUGAUGUGAAAGCCUUCGGCUUAACCGAAGAAGGACAUCGGAAACCGGGCGACUUGAGUGCAGAAGAGGACAGUGGAACUCCAUGUGUAGCGGUGGAAUGCGUAGAUAUAUGGAAGAACACCAGUGGCGAAGGCGGCUGUCUAGUCUGCAACU